AUUGAACGCUGGCGGCAGGCCUAACACAUGCAAGUCGAGCGGAUGACGGGAGCUUGCUCCUUGAUUCAGCGGCGGACGGGUGAGUAAUGCCUAGGAAUCUGCCUGGUAGUGGGGGACAACGUUUCGAAAGGAACGCUAAUACCGCAUACGUUCUACGGGAGAAAGUAGGGGACCUUCGGGCCUUGCGCUAUCAGAUGAGCCUAGGUCGGAUUAGCUAGUAGGUGAGGUAAUGGCUCACCUAGGCGACGAUCCGUAACUGGUCUGAGAGGAUGAUCAGUCACACUGGAACUGAGACACGGUCCAGACUCCUACGGGAGGCAGCAGUGGGGAAUAUUGGACAAUGGGCGAAGGCCUGAUCCAGCCAUGCCGCGUGUGUGAAGAAGGUCUUCGGAUUGUAAAGCACUUUAAGUUGGGAGGAAGGGCAGUAAGUUAAUACCUUGCUGUUUUGACGUUACCGACAGAAUAAGCACCGGCUAACUCUGUGCCAGCAGCCGCGGUAAUAC
rnacentral:rRNA from 1 species